rnacentral:sRNA from 1 species
GGACCGAGAAGUUACCCAAAACCUCAACAGGUCGCUUUGUGAGCCUGAAGUGAAUUGGAAGCUCGCGAGAGCAAACUAGUUCGGUCUUGGAUUCCUUGGGAGUCCUGCCUAUUUAACCACUAAGUCAGUCACAUGGAAACGCGAUGGCUAGGUUGCGCGUUACUACAAAAUUGGCACCAGAUAUACUGUAGAGUACUCGGGGAGUACUGAACGCCAUAGUAAAGACAAUAGGCCUCUAUCAGCGAUAUGAUGUUACGCACAUCGCAGCAAC